GCCUGGUCCAAAGGUAAUGAGUUAUCUAAAGCGGUUAUUCAGUUACUGACUGAACUCCUUGUUCUACUCUUCCCCUUCUGAUUACAAUGCUUGUCUAGUCUUUG
ensembl:misc_RNA Y_RNA Y RNA